rnacentral:rRNA from 1 species
ACAAGCGGUGGAGUAUGUGGUUUAAUUCGAUGCAACGCGAAGAACCUUACCUGGUCUUGACAUCCCGGAGACCCUUAGGAAACUAGGGGGUGGCUUCCAUCUGGAAGAAUCUGGAGACAGGUGCUGCAUGGCUGUCGUCAGCUCGUGUCGUGAGAUGUUGGGUUAAGUCCCGCAACGAGCGCAACCCUUGCCUUUAGUUGCCAGCAGUUCGGCUGGGCACUCUAAAGGGACUGCCGGUGUUAAACCGGAGGAAGGUGGGGAUGACGUCAAGUCCUCAUGGCCUUUAUGACCAGGGCUACACACGUACUACAAUGGCCGAUACAAAGGGCAGCGACACUGCGAGGUGAAGCCAAUCCCGUAAAAUCGGUCUCAGUUCGGAUUGAAGUCUGCAACUCGACUUCAUGAAGCUGGAAUCGCUAGUAAUCGCAGAUCAGCCAAGCUGCGGUGAAUACGUUCCCGGGCCUU